CAGUCGCCGCGGGAAUACGUAGGUGGCAAGCGUUGUCCGGAAUUAUUGGGCGUAAAGCGCGCGCAGGCGGAUAGGUCAGUCUGUCUUAAAAGUUCGGGGCUUAACCCCGUGAUGGGAUGGAAACUGCCAAUCUAGAGUAUCGGAGAGGAAAGUGGAAUUCCUAGUGUAGCGGUGAAAUGCGUAGAUAUUAGGGAGAACACCAGUGGCGAAGGCGACUUUCUGGACGAAAACUGACGCUGAGGCGCGAAAGCCAGGGGAGCGAACGGGAUUAGAUACCCCCGUAGUCCCUGUCUCUUAUACA
rnacentral:rRNA from 1 species